CUUCAAAUGGAAACACAAGAUAAUUAAUGACAAGACGCAGGACACUUAAACUGGACCCCUGUUGUGUUCACUUAUCGCUACACUGACGGUGCGAAGCUACAUUGUAUAGAUGGAACGGCGGACCAGUUUAUAUGACACUGAUCUGUAAUUUUGUAUAAUAUGAUCACUUGGUAUUUCUCUCUAUGUACGUGCAACGAAGAUGACAGACAGUGGACAUCAAAAGGAGGAAAGACAAGUUAAACAUAGACGGG
rnacentral:lncRNA from 1 species